GGAGGGUGGGGCUGUGCUGCAGUGAAUAGCAUGUUCUAUAAGACCGGGAGGCCAGGCCGCACCCAGAGAGGGGCUGCUGGCAGCUGGGAGCAGAGGGGGCUGGCUCACGAGCCCGGCCCUGGCUGAGGGAAGGGAGAGGAAAACAAGGAAGCCUGAACGGCUCUGGGGACCAGGAGAGAUGCUGUCCGCAAUGCAUUGAGAGCAUUCGAGUUUACCUUGUUAAAAUUGCUUGUCUGUUUCAUUCUGGGUCUCCGGGAGCGCGGGCGCCCUGUAUGUCUAAGGAAGCAGGUGGGGAAGAGGAGCCCUGAGUCCUUGCCAUCAGCCUGGUGUCAGAGGCAGGUAGUAAUGGAAGAGAUGGUUUCAGAAAAAUCUAUGAAGUCAUAUCAUAUGAUGCAAAGUGAAGUCAGCAGAACCAGCGCCACAACUUAUGGAGUAACAACAAUAUUGGGACACUAAUGAAUUAUGAAAUACUUAAGCUACUCUGAUCAAUACUAUAAGCAUCUGUGACACUUCCAAAGGAUUCAUGAUGAGACAUGUCACUGGAUACAGGAACUGACAAGGAUUUGGAACUCCUGCUCUGUGGUAGACAUAAGGAACCUAUACCCUGGCUACUCCUGAAUGUAAAGCAGAAUCAGAUGAAAAUGUAAUUGGGGAGUGUUUAAUAAAAUAAGUGAAAAUAAAAUACACUAAAAAUACAACAGAGCAGUUUGACUAGUUGCUCUUUAAGCUUCCUUCCAGCUUCAAAUCUAUGAGUUUCUUUAUCCCUGGGACACAUUUUGCACCUUCAGCCUCAGUGCCCAACUGGUUUUCUA